rnacentral:lncRNA from 1 species
CAAUUUUUGGUUCCACCAACAACAGCGUCAUCAGCAAGUAAAUAACUCUGCUGUACUUGUUGUAUUGAAUAUCCAUACAGUAUUUCUUCAUGACAAGAUUGUAUAUUGGAAAAAAGUUCUGAUCAUAUUGCAUAUUAUCCAAUAUUAUCACCAGUGUCCUGAUACAUUAUGUGAUUUCACUUAUUAGCAUAUCAUCCAAGGUGCUGUACAGUAUACGUUUGUCGUUUGAUUGUAUUAAAGUAAAAGUUCCUCUUUUUGAAUCCUUGUUUAUCUAUAUUUUGAAAAAAUAAAUGUUGGGUUACGGUCAUAACUUUUCCAAAGUAAAAUGCUACCUGGAAUCCCAUAUAUGUUUUACUUGGUCGAAAGGAGUAGUUACUAACAUAGGGAUUGGUAAAAAAUAUUUACCUCUUGUUGAAUGUUAUGAAAUGUUAUGUGAAGCUAUCGUUGACGUAAUCAAGUUUGAAAUGUUGCAACUGAAUUGUAGGCAUGUCUAAAAACAGAAAGAGUAAAUACAUUAGACUAACAUAAAAACACAUAGAAAAAAGAGGAUGGGAAGAGAAGGGAAGAAAAGAAGAAAAGAACGCUUACCUGUUAGAAAAAGUCAUGCAUUUCUAGUUUAAAAUUAGGAUAUACAUAAUAUAUAUAGUUUUGUUAGUUCAGUAUAAAUUGUAUCCUCAAUCAAAUUUGUAUAUAAAUGAUCAAAUAAUGUUGCAUUAUCUGUAGUAAAACUUGAUAUCAUUUGUCUGUAGUUAUUUUCUAAGACCAUGAGGUUAUACAGUGACUGUCGCUCAGAUUCCACCAUCCAAUUUACAUUAAGUCUCCAAUAACAAUACUUUGAGCAGACACAUUUUCUUCAUGAAUGGUACGAAGUGCAGCAAGUAGCUGUGAUAAAGCAAUGCUAGGAGAACAAUAUAA